GGAGUAAAAACCAGCAGCAGCCAAAAGAGCUCAUCCAAACAAGAGACUUCUCUCUCAUCUCUCUCCUUCUCUCACCUCUUAUUGUGGUUCUCUCUCUCUUCUGUGCCCUUUUUUUAUCGUGCGCUUCUCACACAAUCUCAUCCUCUGAAGGAGAUUCGUCUUCGACUUCGGCUUCAUCUUAAUCCUCUUUCUUUUUUUCUCGAUCCACACACCUAACUGCAAUCAUGAGCGACGAAGGAGAAAGGACUUGUCCUCUUUGUGCUGAGGAGAUGGAUUUGACGGAUCAACAGUUGAAGCCUUGCAAAUGUGGCUAUGAGAUAUGUGUUUGGUGUUGGCAUCACAUAAUGGACAUGGCUGAAAAGGAUGAGUCUGAGGGGCGUUGCCCUGCAUGUCGUGUUCCUUAUGACAAGGAAAAGAUAGUAGGGAUGGCUUCAAAAUGUGAAAGCAGAUUGGUGUCUGAAGUCCAUAUGGAGAGAAAGAUGAAGUCACAGAAGGCAAAGGCUAAAUCAUCUGAAGGGCGGAAGCAGCUCAGCAGUGUACGAGUGAUUCAAAGGAACCUUGUUUACAUAGUUGGCUUGCCACUUAAUCUGGCAGAUGAAGAACUUCUUCAGCGUAGAGAAUAUUUUGGUCAAUAUGGGAAGGUUCUCAAAGUAUCAAUGUCUCGGACGGCUGCUGGGGUCAUUCAACAAUAUCAAAACAAUACGUGUAGUGUAUAUAUUACUUACUCAAAAGAAGAUGAAGCCAUUCGUUGUAUUCAAAAUGUACAUGGUUAUGUCCUGGAGGGUAGAUCUUUGAGGGCUUGCUUUGGAACCACAAAGUACUGCCAUGCUUGGUUGAGAAAUGUGCCAUGCACCAAUCCUGAUUGUUUGUAUUUGCACGAGGUUGGUUCUCAAGAGGAUAGUUUCACAAAAGAUGAAAUAAUUUCAGCGUACACAAGGAGUAGGGUCCAACAAAUCACUGGUGCUUCAAACAAUGUGCAACGGCGCUCAGGGAGUGUUUUACCACCGCCUAUGGAUGAUUAUUGUGACAACAGUUCUGCUUCUACUGCAAAACCUAUAGUGAAAAAUGCUCCAAGUAAUACUGUAAACACUGGUAAAGGGUCUCCUCCAAACGGAAGCUCUGGUAAAUCUAUUGCGCUUCCAGCUGCAGCUGCAUGGGGAAUGCGUGGUUCAAAUUGCCAACCACUAGCUGGAAAUUUAACAUGUACAAAUGGACCUUCCAAACAGAAACUUGACACAGUAAGUAAUAAACUGCCAUUUUCAUCAGCGGUUGCAGGUGGUACUCAGACUUCUGUAAUGCAUGUUGAUGGAGGGAAGAGACAACCGUCUGACAAUAUCGCUGAAACAGAAACAUUGAAGCCCAUGAAACAGCAUAAUAGUUUGGAUUAUCAGAGCAAUGUGCUUGAAAAACCUGAUGAUUCUUCUUCUGAAAACAUGAGCAAUCAGUUCUCUUCUUCACCGGUAUCAAGAGAUAAUGAUAGAGGCAUUGAUAUGCUUGCUAAUAAUUCAAAUACCAUUGACCAGGAUGGGCAGUCCUCUACUUCUGGUAAUGAAAGUGAACAUCUCACCUCGGAAGGCCAGGUCCAGAAUUUAUGCUCUGAAAUUUCUUCAUUGUGCAUUGAUGCAAAUGUCAUAGAUGAAGAUUCUGGUAAAACAUCUAGUAGUUCAUUUUUGGAUCACUCCCUAAUUAAAUCUUCUGUGAAUCAAGGGUUGUCACCGUAUUACAGUGAGCAGUUUAGAGAAACUUCUACAUUCUCUCAAAAAGCAGGAACUACAGAUAAUGAGGUUUAUGUUAGAGAUCAACCUGACUGGUUAGCAGUUUCACAAACACAAGCAAUGCCGAGUACAUCUUCUGAGUUAGAAGAGGACAUAAUAUCUUUUGAUAAUCAACGACUUAAGGAUCCGGAAGUUGUGAGUCGUUCAAAUUAUUUACCAAAUUCUACCAAUUCAUUCCAUACAUCAAAUCAUGCUUGCUCUCCUUUUCAACAUGAGGCCUAUGCUGCAGCUAAUUCAAAUACAGAUCGUCUAUUUGUGGAUAACAAACUUAGAGAUAGUGCAUUUCUAUCUGCAUCUACAACUCCAUUAACAUCUAAUGGGUACCCUAAUAACUUACCAAAUAGCUACAUUGGAUCUGAGAACAUAUCAGAACAUUCCUUUUUGCAUUCGAAUGAGGAUAAUGGGAAGCACAUUGGAAGAUUCCUUGGUGAUGCAGCUAAUACUGAUGUUAAUUGUGCUGUAGAUAGAGGGGAGAGUAGCAUAAUUUCAAAUAUAUUAUCACUGGACUUUGAUACUUGGGACGAAUCAUUAGCAUCACCUCAGAAUUUGGCUAAAUUAUUGGGAGAUGAUGAUAAACAGUCUGGAUCUCACAGAUUAUCGAGUUCUUGGAAGGCACCAACACACAAUCAAUCCAGAUUCUCUUUCGCAAGACAAGAGGAAUCUAUAAAUCCUGUUUUUGAUGUACAGCCAUCACAUAGUUUCCUUGGGCAGGUUUCUAACCAUGCUUUUAGUCGCGACUUUUCUGACAACAGAGAUACACACUUCGAUAAGCUUGGCUUUGGUAAUGGUUUCUCCUCCGGUAGUUUUGAUGAAUCUGAGAAUCAUGCCAGCGGCAAUCAUUCAGUUUUCUUUUCCAAUAAGCCUGCAGCUUCAAGGGCCCAGAUAUCAGCCCCACCUGGCUUUUCUGUUCCUAGCAGGGCACCUCCCCCAGGCUUUGGAUCUCAUGACAGGAUGGAGCAAUCUUAUGAUACCUUUUCUGGGAAUCGCUUGCUUGAUACUUCAUCAAUGUUGAGAAAUGGAUAUCAACAACAGGCGUCUGGAAAUAUUGGUAGCAAUGCUGACAUCGAGUUUAUAGAUCCUGCUAUAUUGGCAGUUGGUAAAGGAAGACCUCAAGGUGGACUGAACAACCCAGGCAUGGAAAUGAGAUCAAACUUCUCUUCACAAUUAGGCUCUUUUGAAAAUGAUGCAAGACUUCAGCUUCUGAUGUCAAGAUCCCUCUCCCAACAGCAGAACCUUAGAUUUCCUGACAUGGGAGAUAAUUUUUCUCAUCUUAGUGAUUCUUAUGGAUUAUCUUCUAGGCUUGUUGAGCAAUCACAAGUGAACAAUGUAUCCCCAUAUGCACAGAUGUCUCUCCAACAAUCCAGAAAUGGACUUAUGUCAAAUGGUCACUGGGAUGGGUGGAGUGAGGUUCAAGGCGGAAAUACUUUGGGCAUGGCAGAGCUUCUUCGUAAUGAAAGACUGGGAUUUAAUAAGUUCUAUGCUGGUGGUUAUGAGGAUUCCAAGUUUCGUAUGCCCAGUUCAGGUGAUCUAUACAACAGAACAUUUGGGAUGUAGUUCUCACUCAUUUAAUAUCUUGACUUGUGUUUGAGAGAAGCUUGAAGGUGUAUUACAAGGGUUGAGAGAAGCUUGAAGGUGUAUUACAAAGGGUUGAGAGAAGCUUGAAGGUGUAUUACAAGGGUUGAGAGAGAAGCUUGAAGGUGUAUUACAAGGGUUGAUAGAAGCUGAAAGGUGCAACAUUGCGUGGUAUCGUGGCCAUCAAUUGACUUAUAACUGGUCUCAGUGAGCAACCGAUGUAGGAUCGAACUCUCAAAAACAUGGGGCUUUUAAUCCUGCAGGUGAAGUAUGCUGUGAUGUACUACUUAUAUUUUGCAUUGAAGACCAUUGGAGAUUGCUGUAAAUGAUUCUCGACUGUUCAUCAACUGGAUGUGUAAGCUGUUAGCAUUCUUCAUCAUAUCCUUGCUGAAAUCCGCGCGCGUUGCUCUCGUAGAAUGAAAUCUAAUCUGACCCACCCCUCCUUUCUCUUCUUCCUAGGGUUUUCUUAUAUAUAAAUAUACCUGGCUCUUACUACCACCUUCACAAUUUACACAUACUGAGGCAAUAUUCAAAUUGAUUUAAACCCAUCUUUCAAUCUCUUUUUGCUUCACUCACUGCUUCCUCUUCAAAACUCGUUUUGGUGUUGUUAUUAAGUUUUCACAUGUUCUGAUAAAUUAUAUAUAUUAUAUAUAUGUUAUACAAAAAUAUUGCUGGCGUGUUUAAUAUCCUA